GCAAGGGGGUCAUCCCGACUUACCAACCCGAUGCAAACUGCGAAUACCGGAGAAUGUUAUCACGGGAGACACACGGCGGGUGCUAACGUCCGUCGUGAAGAGGGAAACAACCCAGACCGCCAGCUAAGGUCCCAAAGUCAUGGUUAAGUGGGAAACGAUGUGGGAAGGCCCAGACAGCCAGGAUGUUGGCUUAGAAGCAGCCAUCAUUUAAAGAAAGCGUAAUAGCUCACUGGUCGAGUCGGCCUGCGCGGAAGAUGUAACGGGGCUAAACCAUGCACCGAAGCUGCGGCAGCGACACUAUGUGUUGUUGGGUAGGGGAGCGUUCUGUAAGCCUGUGAAGGUGUGCUGUGAGGCAUGCUGGAGGUAUCAGAAGUGCGAAUGCUGACAUAAGUAACGAUAAAGCGGGUGAAAAGCCCGCUCGCCGGAAGACCAAGGGUUCCUGUCCAACGUUAAUCGGGGCAGGGUGAGUCGACCCCUAAGGCGAGGCCGAAAGGCGUAGUCGAUGGGAAACAGGUUAAUAUUCCUGUACUUGGUGUUACUGCGAAGGGGGGACGGAGAAGGCUAUGUUGGCCGGGCGACGGUUGUCCCGGUUUAAGCGUGUAGGCUGGUUUUCCAGGCAAAUCCGGAAA
rnacentral:rRNA from 1 species